CAUUAUGGUGGGCUGGGCGAGGCAGCUUCGGCUGGCCGUUCCUAUGCGCGGUAGUCCUAACCUUGUUCAGUUCACCACCCGA
rnacentral:antisense_RNA from 2 species